CUCGUAGGCGGUUUGUCGCGUCGGGAGUGAAAACGCCGUGCUUAACACGGCGCUUGCUUUCGAUACGGGCAGACUAGAGGUAUGCAGGGGAGAACGGAAUUCCUGGUGUAGCGGUGAAAUGCGCAGAUAUCAGGAGGAACACCGGUGGCGAAGGCGGUUCUCUGGGCAUUACCUGACGCUGAGGAGCGAAAGUGUGGGGAGCGAACA
rnacentral:rRNA from 1 species